rnacentral:rRNA from 1 species
GAUGAACGCUGGCGGCGUGCCUAAUACAUGCAAGUCGAGCGAACAGACGAGGAGCUUGCUCCUCUGACGUUAGCGGCGGACGGGUGAGUAACACGUGGAUAACCUACCUAUAAGACUGGGAUAACUUCGGGAAACCGGAGCUAAUACCGGAUAAUAUAUUGAACCGCAUGGUUCAAUAGUGAAAGACGGUUUUGCUGUCACUUAUAGAUGGAUCCGCGCCGCAUUAGCUAGUUGGUAAGGUAACGGCGUACCAAGGCAACGAUGCGUAGCCGACCUGAGAGGGUGAUCGUCCACUCUGGAACGUAGAAACCAUCCAGACACCAACGGAAGGCAGCAGUUGGCAAUCUACAGCAAUGGGCGACAGCCUGACGCAGCAACGCCGCGUGCGUGAUGAAGGUCUUCGGAUCGUAACCCCCUCUUAUUAGGGAAAAACAAAUGUGUAAGUAACUAUGCACCUCUUGACGCUACCUAAUCAGAAAGCCACGGCUAACUACGU